rnacentral:rRNA from 1 species
GCAGUCGAGGGGCAGCAGUACUUUUCGGAGUAGCUGGCGACCGGCGCACGGGUGCGUAACGCGUAUGCAAUCUACCUACAGCAGAGGGAUAGCCCGUGGAAACAUGGAUUAAUACCUCAUAAUACAGGGGGCCCACCUGGGCAUAUUGUUAAAGAUUUAUCGGCUGUAGAUGAGCAUGCGUCCCAUUAGCUAGUUGGUACGGUAACGGCGUACCAAGGCGAUGAUGGGUAGGGGUUCUGAGAGGAUGAUCCCCCACACUGGCACUGAGAUACGGGCCAGACUCCUACGGGAGGCAGCAGUGAGGAAUAUUGGACAAUGGGCGCAAGCCUGAUCCAGCCAUGCCGCGUGAGUGACGAAGGUCUUCGGAUUGUAAAGCUCUUUUGCCAGGGACGAUAAUGACGGUACCUGGAGAAUAAGCCCCGGCUAACUUCGUGCCAGCAGCCGCGGUAAUACGAAGGGGGCUAGCGUUGUUCGGAAUUACUGGGCGUAAAGCGCACGUAGGCGGAUUUGUAAGUUAGGGGUGAAAUCCCGGGGCUCAACCUCGGAACUGCCUUUGAAACUGCUUUGCUUGAGUCCGGGAGGGGGGAGCGGAAUUCCCAGUGUAGCGGUGAAAUGCGUAGAUACUGGGAGGAACACCGGUGGCGAAGGCGGCUCCCUGGUCCAGUACUGACACUCAAGUGCGAAAGCGUGGGGAGCAAACAGGAUUAGAUACCCUGGUAGUCCACGCCCUAAACGAUGACGACUAGAUGUCGGGAGGGUCUGCCUUUCGGUGUCGCAGCUAACGCGUUAAGUCGUCCGCCU